rnacentral:Y_RNA from 1 species
AGUUGGUCCGCUAGUAGUGGGUUACCAUCAUGUCUUGAUCUCCCUCCCACUGCUGCCCUUGACUAACUAUUU